ACUCCCGAAUGCAACAGCGUCCCAGGUGGAGCCUAUUGCAGUGACGAGACGAGCACCUGCCAGUGCUAUCCGUUAUUUACUACAUCGAGCACGGAAUGCACACCUACGAAUUGCAUUAUGGAUACGGACUGUCAUUAUGGCACAAUUCCACAGACUAUGAGAUGCUUGAAUGGUCAAUGCACUUGUGAUGUCACCGCAGACAUAACGCCCAGAGGAUGUAAAACUAAAAAGCUGGGAAGUCCGUGUUACAGCACGGACGAUUGCUCACACAUAAACGGUUCGAUAUGUGGGCCGGACGAGACUCGAACAUGUGUGUGCGGCGACAGUUAUAAUAACAUUGCGGGAAAUUGCUAUCCGAAAGGGUUGCGACAAAGUUGUCACGACACUAGUGACUGCAGACAUUUGUCACAUUCGGGUUGCUACGCAUUUUCCGGUACAGAGAAGACUUGCCAAUGUGACUUCGGAUACUCCUCGGACGAAUUUGAAGUCUGUCAUUCGAAUGGGGAUAUAAACAUACCCGAUCCUUACUCACCGCAUUAUCCAGUCGGUUCAUGUCAACAUGAUGAUGACUGCUCUCGUUCCUUGUGGUGGACCUACUGUGACC